rnacentral:lncRNA from 1 species
CAUAUACUGUACAUGUAUAUGACUUACACUGUCCAGUCUUGCGCAAGGUCACUUCAUGCCCUUUGACACACGUACUAAGCUAGUGGUCAGCACACAGCAUAUACUGUACAUGUAAAUAUGACCUUGCCUCAACCAGAAAAACCGUUAGGCCACAUUGCGCUAGCCUGCAUGCAGUUCAGUUCUACUACUCAUUCAAAAUGGUUAAAGACGGAGCAGGCACAAAUGUACAUCGUCUUCUCGAAAAAACACUGAUUACAUGUAUUGUAUUCAGUUCCAAAUCCGCGUCCAAAAGCAUCACACAUGUCUGUAAACAUACAGCUUAUUAGUCAGAGUUAAUAUUCCUGCAGCACCAUGGUCUUUGCGGAAUGGGAGAGAAUUUGGACAGAACCUUUCGUUUCUGGAGCCCUGUUCUUUCAAACCUACAGUUUGUUGUAGGCCUUACUGGGAGCCAUGGACACAACGGAACAGUCAAUCGAUACGUGAGGAGAGGAGUUAACUUGCAACAGAGACCGGUGCGACAGUGACGGGAAAAGGCUCAGGAGACACUGAAGAAGCACGUGUAUAUAUAGGAACAAUCUGCAGCAAAUUAAGUGACUCAGAGUGUAAUUGUUAUAACCAUUUGAAGCACGCAAACUGGAUAUCAAAACAGUGACGUUAUUUCUGCAAGGCUUCAGUGUUACAGCUUUGAUGUUUUUCAUCUUUGAUUCGAUAAAACUUGACCAGUACAUGAAAGUUCUGUGCUUCUCAGGACCUGUUUCCCCAGGUCUGUACAUUUCUCCAUUUUUUUGUCAAUAUUAUGAUGAUCUGAGACUGAAUGUUAUUUGCCCUGGAUUUAUCAAGCCAUUGAAGUUUCCUGUAAAUUUACUCACCGAAAUAUUGAGACGAGUUUCAUAAUUUAAACGAAUAGGCUAGCUUUACUGUUUUAGCGUGGAUUGUGGCCUAAUUAUGAAACGAGAGGCAUUAAACUCAAACCAAAACCUUCCCUCUUUUAUCCUCAACAUUCAAAUUUACAUGUAAGU